rnacentral:SRP_RNA from 1 species
GCUGGGCGUGGUGGCGCACGCCUGUAAUCCCAGCUACUUGGGAGGCUGAGGCAGGAGAAUCCCCUGAAUGCAGGAGGUGGGGGCUGCAGUGAGCCGAGAUCGUGCCACUGCACUUCAGCCUGGGUGACAGAGUGAGACUCUGUCUCAA